rnacentral:rRNA from 1 species
UGUGACCUCAAAUCAGGUAGGACUACCCGCUGAACUUAAGCAUAUCAAUAAGCGGAGGAAAAGAAACUAACAAGGAUUCCCCUAGUAACUGCGAGUGAAGCGGGAAAAGCUCAAAUUUAAAAUCUGGCGGUCUUUUGGCUGUCCGAGUUGUAAUCUAGAGAAGUGUUAUCCGCGCUGGACCGUGUACAAGUCUCCUGGAAUGGAGCAUCAUAGAGGGUGAGAAUCCCGUCUUUGACAUGGACUGCCAGGGCUUUGUGAUGCGCUCUCAAAGAGUCGAGUUGUUUGGGAAUGCAGCUCAAAAUGGGUGGUAAAUUCCAUCUAAAGCUAAAUAUUGGCGAGAGACCGAUAGCGAACAAGUACCGUGAGGGAAAGAUGAAAAGAACUUUGGAAAGAGAGUUAAACAGUACGUGAAAUUGCUGAAAGGGAAACGCUUGAAGUCAGUCGCGUCGUCCAGGGAUCAACCUUGCUUUUGCUUGGUGCACUUUCUGGUUCGAUGGGUCAGCAUCAAUUUUGACUGUUGGAAAAAGGUCAAGGGAAUGUGGCAUCUUUGGAUGUGUUUAUAGCCCUUGGUCACAUACAAUGGUUGGGAUUGAGGAACUCAGCACGCCGCAAGGCCGGGUUUUAAACCACGUACGUGCUUAGGAUGCUGGCAAUAUGGCUUUAAUCGACCCGUCUUGAAACACGGACCAAGGAGUCUAACAUGCCUGCGAGUGUUUGGGUGGAAAACCCGAGCGCGUAAUGAAAGUGAAAAGUUGAGAUCCCUGUCGUGGGGAGCAUCGACGCCCGGACCAGACCUUCUGUGACGGUUCCGCGGUAGAGCAUGUAUGUUGGGACCCGAAAGAUGGUGAACUAUGCCUGAAUAGGGUGAAUCCAGAGGAAACUCUGGUGGAGG